GGUUGGCCAGGGGAAGAAAAUAGUGGCUGGGAAGUUGGGAAGAAAAUGCUUUUGUUGGAAAUUACAGAAAAGUGAGAGGAACUGGGGAUUGAAAAUGCUGGCAGUGAAGCACUCCUUUUGAGCUUCAUGAUGACAAUUAUGUUCUGAAGGCCAUGAAAUUUUGUGAGAGACUGCAAGACGAUCAUACUGCACACAAUUUUUCUGCCGAUGGUGGUGAAGGUUCUAGCAUGUCCGCCAUGUACCAACCACAAAUCAUGCCUACCCCAAGGACAAACACACCUGGUAGGCCUCCUACAUCACCACCUCUUCCUGGAAUAAUAAAAGCACGUAUCAAACAUGAGAACUAGUAAGCUUGCUUCAGGCUUUCAUCAUCUUGAUCUGAGUUAUAAUCUUAGUUUGUGUAUAUUGUGUAAAGUAAAUUGCCGGAAGCAGGUGGGUUCCUUACGAAGAUCCUCAUGUCAUUAGAUUUUACCCUUGUUUUAAGAAGCAUAUGGUAGUGAGCCGAUUAGUUAAUUUUGUCUGAGAACUUUGUAGGGGUAUUUAUUCCGGCUAGCUAUCUGCUUUGCAUAUUAGAAAAAGUUUCACCAUUGUAAUUGAUUUUUCCUAUUCACUCUCGCCUUAUGUGGUAGAAACAAUUUAUGUUCUAGGCAGGAGCCAGCUACAUACAGAAUUAAAGAAUUAAUUGAAAAAAUUAUGUCAUUUUCUGUCGUA